GACGAACGCUGGCGGCGUGCUUAACACAUGCAAGUCGAACGAUGAACCCGGAGCUUGCUCUGGGGGAUUAGUGGCGAACGGGUGAGUAACACGUGAGUAACCUGCCCUGGACUCUGGGAUAAGCGUUGGAAACGACGUCUAAUACCGGAUAGGACCUUGGAUCGCAUGAUCUGGGGUGGAAAGUUUUUUCGGUCGGGGAUGGACUCGCGGCCUAUCAGCUUGUUGGUGAGGUAAUGGCUCACCAAGGCGUCGACGGGUAGCCGGCCUGAGAGGGUGACCGGCCAGACUGGGACGGAGACACGGCCGAGACUCCUACGUGAGGCAGCAGUAGGGAAUAUUGCACAAAGGGCGAAAGCCUGAUGCAGCAACGCCGCGUGCGGGAGGACGGCCGUCGGGUUGUAAACCGCUUUUAGUAGGGAAGAAGGGCUUCGGCUUGACGGUACCUGCAGAAAAAGGACCGGCUAACUACGUG
rnacentral:rRNA from 1 species